rnacentral:rRNA from 1 species
GUGGGGAAUUUUGGACAAUGGGCGCAAGCCUGAUCCAGCAAUGCCGCGUGCAGGAAGAAGGCCUUCGGGUUGUAAACUGCUUUUGUACGGAACGAAACGGUCCGGGUUAAUACCCUGGGCUAAUGACGGUACCGUAAGAAUAAGCACCGGCUAACUACGUGCCAGCAGCCGCGGUAAUACGUAGGGUGCAAGCGUUAAUCGGAAUUACUGGGCGUAAAGCGUGCGCAGGCGGUUUUGUAAGACAGGCGUGAAAUCCCCGGGCUCAACCUGGGAAUUGCGCUUGUGACUGCAAGGCUGGAGUGCGGCAGAGGGGGAUGGAAUUCCGCGUAUAGCAGUGAAAUGCGUAGAUAUGCGGAGGAACACCGAUGGCGAAGGCAAUCCCCUGGGCCUGCACUGACGCUCAUGCACGAAAGCGUGGGGAGCAAACAGGAUUAGAAACCCGAGUAGUCC